rnacentral:rRNA from 1 species
GAUGGAGGGGGAUAACUACUGGAAACGGUAGCUAAUACCGCAUAACGUCGCAAGACCAAAGUGGGGGACCUUCGGGCCUCACACCAUCGGAUGAACCCAGAUGGGAUUAGCUAGUAGGUGGGGUAAUGGCUCACCUAGGCGACGAUCCCUAGCUGGUCUGAGAGGAUGACCAGCCACACUGGAACUGAGACACGGUCCAGACUCCUACGGGAGGCAGCAGUGGGGAAUAUUGCACAAUGGGGGAAACCCUGAUGCAGCCAUGCCGCGUGUGUGAAGAAGGCCUUCGGGUUGUAAAGCACUUUCAGCGGGGAAGAAGGCGUUAGCGUUAACAGCGCUAUCGAUUGACGUUACCUGCAGAAGAAGCACCGGCUAACUCCGUGCCAGCAGCCGCGGUAAUGCGGAGGGUGCAAGCGUUAAUCGGAAUUACUGGGCGUAAAGCGUACGCAGGCGGUCUGUUAAGUCAGAUGUGAAAUCCCCGGGCUUAACCUGGGAACUGCAUUUGAAACUGGCAGGCUAGAGUCUCGUAGAGGGGGGUAGAAUUCCAGGUGUAGCGGUGAAAUGCGUAGAGAUCUGGAGGAAUACCGGUGGCGAAGGCGGCCCCCUGGACGAAGACUGACGCUCAGGUACGAAAGCGUGGGGAGCAAACAGGAUUAGAUACCCUGGUAGUCCACGCUGUAAACGAUGUCGAUUUGAAGGUUGUGGCCUUGAGCUGUGGCUUUCGGAGCUAACGCGUUAAAUCGACCGCCUGGGGAGUACGGCCGCAAGGUUAAAACUCAAAUGAAUUGACGGGGGCCCGCACAAGCGGUGGAGCAUGUGGUUUAAUUCGAUGCAACGCGAAGAACCUUACCUACUCUUGACAUCCAGAGAACUUGGCAGAGAUGCCUUGGUGCCUUCGGGAGCUCUGAGACAGGUGCUGCAUGGCUGUCGUCAGCUCGUGUUGUGAAAUGUUGGGUUAAGUCCCGCAACGAGCGCAACCCUUAUCCUUUGUUGCCAGCGAUUUGGUCGGGAACUCAAAGGAGACUGCCGGUGAUAAACCGGAGGAAGGUGGGGAUGACGUCAAGUCAUCAUGGCCCUUACGAGUA